UUGAUCCUGGCUCAGAAUCAACGCUGGCGGCGUGCCUAACACAUGCAAGUCGAACGAGAAAGUGGAGCAAUCCAUGAGUACAGUGGCGACCGGGUGAGUUACACGUGACUAACCUACCUUCGAGUGGGGGAUAACCUCGGGAAACCGAGUCUAAUACCGCAUAACAUCGAGAGAUCAAAGGAGCAAUUCGCUUGAAGAGUGGGUCGCGGCUGAUUAGCUAGUUGGCGGGGUAAUGGCCCACCAAGGCGAUGAUCGGUAGCCGGCCUGAGAGGGCGCACGGCCACACUGGAACUGAAACAUGGUCCAGACUCCUACGGGAGGCAGCAGUGGGGAAUUUUGCGCAAUGGGGUAAACCCUGACGCAGCAACGCCGCGUGGAGGAUGAAGCCUCUUGGGGUGUUAACUCCUUUCGACCAAGACGAUAAUGACGGUACUGGUGGAAGAAGCACCUGCUAACUCUGUGCCAGCAGCCGCGGUAAUU
rnacentral:rRNA from 1 species